rnacentral:rRNA from 1 species
GACGAACGCUGGCGGCGUGCUUAACACAUGCAAGUCGAACGGAAAGGCCCUGCUUUUGGGGGGUGCGCGAGUGGCGAACGGGUGAGUAACACGUGAGUAACCUGCCCUUGACUUUGGGAUAACUUCAGGAAACUGGGGCUAAUACCGGAUAGGAGCUCCUGCUGCAUGGUGGGGGUUGGAAAGUUUCGGCGGUUGGGGAUGGACUCGCGGCUUAUCAGCUUGUUUGUUGGGUAGUGUCUUACCAAGGCUUUGACGGGUAGCCGGCCUGAGAGGGUGACCGGCCCCAUUGGGACUGAGCUGCGGCCCAGCCUCCUCCGGGAGGCAGCAGUGGGGAAUAUUGCACAAUGGGCGGAAGCCUGAUGCAGCCACGCCGCGUGCGGGAUGACGGCCUUCGGGUUGUAAACCGCUUUCGCCUGUGACGAAGCGUGAGUGACGGUAAUGGGUAAAGAAGCACCGGCUAACUACGUG